GUGAAUAUUAAACAAUGGAGGCUCUAAGGAAGAUGUCGGUUUUUGGGGCAAUUCUGAAUCGUUUCUGAGACUAGGUUGUGACUCCUUUCACAAACUCAAUGUUUUAAAGUGAAUCGGGGCUUAAGCGUUAACAGCUCUGAGUUGAGAAGUUGCUAGGCUACAGUAGUUUCCUGUGGGGCCAGUUUGCUCACAGUAGCUAAAUCAACCAGAUGCGCUAACAGGGCUUUAGACCUCAGUGUUUAACUCUAAAAAAACAUUGCCAGGCUCAAUAAAGAAGUCUUGAGCUCUACUUCUUGUCCUUCUCGUGUGAUGUGUCAGCUUGUUAAUGGAAGGCAAAUCAAAACAACUGUUUCAAAUCAGAGGAGAGCAGAGUAGGUGUGACAUCUGUGAUUCUACAGCUCUCUGAAGGUGUUCACCACAGAAACCCACUUUGGGAAGAUUCUCUUUUGUUGUUGUUCACUGUUAAAGGGUAUAGUCUGUACAUCUGAAGACUAUUCAAUACACUGCAAUAUUCCCUGCCACGACUCUCUCACGACAGGGUAUCUGACCUGCCUAAACCAUGGUGACAAACAACAUUUAAUAUUAUUUUCCUGAGUAGGAUUACCCUACUUUUCCCAAGGAACACAACUGUGGUUUAAUGGUGAUGAUGGAUCAAAGCUAUUUCACCCAAGGGGACAGAUUUUCUACCCUAACUGUGUGUCAGACAGAUCUGAACACAAUCACAUCACAAUGCAUCUUUUGUGCAUCUAGACACAUAUUUUCAAUGGGAUCUCGUAUUCUGAUUGCAGAAGUCACAUGUAAGUGUCAAAUGUAGACACGGCCUAAGUGUGCAUAGAGUCAGAGCAAGACAGGGUAAGUGUGGAUAUCCAAACGGGUAACCAUUUAAUUAACUAUUUAGCAAUCUUAUGGCUCUUUCAUAGUCUUAAGUCUUGGGUGUAGAAGCUGUCUCGGAGUCUGUUGGUUCGACCACUGUUUGCUGGACGGUAUCAGAGUGAACAGUUUAUGGCUUUGGUGACUGGAAUCUUUGGCAAUAUUUCGGGCCUUCCUCUGACACUGCCUG
rnacentral:lncRNA from 13 species